rnacentral:lncRNA from 1 species
CCCGCUUGCUUCCCUGCCCGCCCUGUGUGAUCUGACUGCAAGCCCUUUCCCUUAAGAGUUGGAGCCUGUUUGUCCAACCUUGUGAUAAUUUCCUCGUGGUCCCUCAGACAUCUUCUGAAGAUUAUGCUAAGAGAAAUGACUGCACCCUUUUCCUGAGCUAUGGCAGUCAGACCUGGCAGUGGUAACUACUCUACAGAACUCCUAAACCUGGCAAAGAUGGUGCAGAUUUUGGCAGAUUAUGGCUUUGUCCCCACCCAGCACUGAUGAUAUUAUGAAACCUAUACUACAAGAAAUGAUAAUGGAAGUUCUUCAACUGAGCAAGAAAUGAUAUUAACAGAAAACUUGGAUCUUCAGGAGCAAAUGAAGAACAUCAGA